rnacentral:rRNA from 1 species
UGCAAGUCGAACGGCAGCACGGACUUCGGUCUGGUGGCGAGUGGCGAACGGGUGAGUAAUACAUCGGAACGUGCCCAGUCGUGGGGGAUAACGUAGCGAAAGCUACGCUAAUACCGCAUACGAUCUAAGGAUGAAAGCGGGGGAUCGCAAGACCUCGCGCGAUUGGAGCGGCCGAUGGCAGAUUAGGUAGUUGGUAGGGUAAAGGCCUACCAAGCCGACGAUCUGUAGCUGGUCUGAGAGGAUGAUCAGCCACACUGGGACUGAGACACGGCCCAGACUCCUACGGGAGGCAGCAGUGGGGAAUUUUGGACAAUGGACGCAAGUCUGAUCCAGCCAUUCCGCGUGCAGGAUGAAGGCCCUCGGGUUGUAAACUGCUUUUGUACAGAACGAAAAGGCUCUGGUUAAUACCUGGGGCUCAUGACGGUACUGUAAGAAUAAGCACCGGCUAACUACGUGCCAGCAGCCGCGGUAAUACGUAGGGUGCAAGCGUUAAUCGGAAUUACUGGGCGUAAAGCGUGCGCAGGCGGUUAUGUAAGACAGAGGUGAAAUCCCCGGGCUCAACCUGGGAACUGCCUUUGUGACUGCAUAGCUAGAGUACGGUAGAGGGGGAUGGAAUUCCGCGUGUAGCAGUGAAAUGCGUAGAUAUGCGGAGGAACACCGAUGGCGAAGGCAAUCCCCUGGACCUGUACUGACGCUCAUG